UGAGGAAUCUUGCGCAAUGGGGGAAACCCUGACGCAGCAACGCCGCGAGCGUGAGGAAGGCCUUCGGGUCGUAAAGCUCUGUCAGAUGGGAAGAAAUGGGUGGGGGCUAAUAUCGCCCAUCCUUGACGGUACCAUCAGAGGAAGCACCGGCUAACUCCGUGCCAGCAGCCGCGGUAAUACGGGGGGUGCGAGCGUUGUUCGGAAUCAUUGGGCGUAAAGCGCGCGAGGGCGGCUUGGUGAGUCAGAUGUGAAAGCCCUGGGCUUAAACAAGGAAGAGAAUUUGAUAAUGUCACGCUAGAGUAAGGGAAAGGAAAAUGGAAUUCAUGGUGUAGAGGUGAAAUUCGUAGAUAUCAGGAGGAACUACGGUGGCUAAGGCGACUUUCUGGCCCGAUACUGACGCUAAGGCGAGAAAGCGUGGGGAGCAAACAG
rnacentral:rRNA from 1 species